UACGGAGGGUGCGAGCGUUAAUCGGAAUCACUGGGCGUAAAGCGCGCGUAGGCGGCUUUUCAAGUCAGGGGUGAAAUCCCACGGCCCAACCGUGGAACUGCCUUUGAAACUGUAGAGCUUGAGUGUCGGAGAGGGUGGCGGAAUUCCAGGAGUAGGAGUGAAAUCCGUAGAUAUCUGGAGGAACACCGGUGGCGAAGGCGGCCACCUGGACGACAACUGACGCUGAGGUGCGAAAGCGUGGGUAGCAAACAGG
rnacentral:rRNA from 1 species